UACGAAGGGUGCAAGCGUUACUCGGAAUUACUGGGCGUAAAGCGUGCGUAGGUGGUUUGUUAAGUCUGUUGGUGAAAGCCCCGGGCUCAACCUGGGAAUGGCAAUGGAUACUGGCAAGCUAGAGUGCGGUAGAGGGUAGUGGAAUUCCCGGUGUAGCGGUGAAAUGCGCAGAUAUCAGGAGGAACACCAAUGGCGAAGGCAGCUCGCUGGGACGGUACUGACACUGAGACGCGAAAGCGUGGGGAGCAAACGG
rnacentral:rRNA from 1 species